rnacentral:rRNA from 1 species
UCUAAUAAUAAUACUAUUAAUUUAAUUUGGUUUAAAAUUCUUACAAGUUUGCAAUAAAUUUUUGGAUAUAAGGUGAAAUUUUAUCUUUAAGGCGCUGUUAGAUAAUUUAUUAAAUUGAUGAAUAAACUAGGAUUAGAUACCCUAUUAUAUUAACUUAGCUAGAAACUAUAUGAUUAUUAAUUAAGUUCUAUAAAGUAAAAGGAUUUGGCGGUAUUUUAUUCUUAUCAGAGGAACCUGUUGUGUAAUUGAUAAUUCACGAUUUAACCUACUUAAGUCUAGUUUAUAUAUCGUUGUUUAAAAUACCUUUAAAGGGGAUAUUUGAAAUUUAGUUUUUGGAUUAAAUCAGAUCAAGGUGUAGCUUAUAUUUAAGUAUUAAUGGGUUACUAUUUUUAAUAUAACUGGAUGAUAAAUAUUUAAUUUUUUUGAAAGUGGAUUUGAGUGUAAAUAUAAAUAAAUUUUUAUUUUGAUUAAGCCCUAAAAU